rnacentral:rRNA from 1 species
UACAGAGGUCCCAAGCGUUGUUCGGAUUCAUUGGGCGUAAAGGGCGCGUAGGCGGCGUGGUAAGUCACUUGUGAAAUCUCUGAGCUUAACUCAGAACGGCCAAGUGAUACUGCUGUGCUAGAGUGCAGAAGGGGCAAUCGGAAUUCUUGGUGUAGCGGUGAAAUGCGUAGAUAUCAAGAGGAACACCUGAGGUGAAGACGGGUUGCUGGACUGACACUGACGCUGAGGCGCGAAAGCCAGGGGAGCAAACGGG